AUGUAUCCUGCUACCCCGUCCGCCAGGUAUAAAUGGGAGGAGCUGCCGCCAGCCUUCUCAGUAGGAAAGUGUUGGCAGCGCGGAGCACAACGCAAGUUCCCGUUCGUGCCAAUUUCUUCCUGAAAAUGACACCGCCUACCUGCUGGUGGCCCUGGCGUGGGUGGCAGCGGCCACCAUAGCCAGUGGCACUCCGCGAACCCUGGAGGCUUCCUUCGUCGGCCAUGUCAAUAGUGCCACCAGUGCUUUCCCGGAAGCGCUGGCAACCCAUUCCCAACCCCUGGCGACGACUCGGCGCGAGAAUUCCUUGGAUUUUAAAGAUCACAACCUCGAUUCCCGUGAGCCAAGCGAACUCUCUCCCGUUGCCAGUGCCACCCGGGGUCAGGCGAGGUCAAAGUGGUCAAACGCUCAGCCCAGUUUCAGGCCAGAGCUCGCUACCUGCCGCAGAAUAUUGUCACCGUGCUGGAAACAGCGUGUGUGGAAACGACGACGGUCGCGGUGCCACUGGAAAGCCUUGUGUUUCCAAUGCCUUGCGUGUGUGACCUCUGCUCCUACACGCCCUCAAGUGAAGUAUGCAAUUGCUUGCGUGCACCCGAGUGUCGCGCGUGAGUGCUCGUUCUGGAACAUUUUGUAAGUCGGGCAGUUAUUUUUGACACUCAUUAUAUAUACAUAUAUUUAUACAUACACACGGAUGCAUAUAUAUGUAUGUGUGUAUGCGUGUGCGUGUGUUGUCUGCGUACAGGCAAUGAAGAUUUCUUUAUAAAAAAUGAUAAUCACAAUGAAAAAUCAUUUUUCCUACAACCUAAUACUCACAUUUUGCACAGAGAAAGAUAAUAUAUUGAUAUAGCUUGGCUUCCUCAGCAGCUAAUGAAA